rnacentral:misc_RNA from 1 species
UUAAGUUCAGCGGGUAUCCCUACCUGAUCCGAGGUCAACCACAGAGUUGGGGGUUCUGGCAGGCCGCCGCAGGGCCCUGGAGCGAGAGCUGUACUGCGCUCAGGGCCAGGCGGUGCCGCCACUGUCUUUAGGGCCCGCCGCGGACGGGCGGGGCCCAACACCAAGCCGGGCUUGAGGGUUGAAAUGACGCUCGAACAGGC